rnacentral:rRNA from 1 species
GAAAACACCGGUUCUCGCCCGAUCACCGAAGUUAAGCAACGUCGAGCCCGGUUAGUACUUGGAUGGGUGACCGCCUGGGAAUACCGGGUGCUGUAGGCUU